UUAACUUCUUCAUUCUUUCCAUAACCAUUCUUCUUUCUUUUUUCCAUAACCAUUCUUCUUUCUUCUUUCUCUUCUUUCUCCAAUCUGUGAUAGUUAAGAACCUAACAAAACUCAUAUCUCUUUUCUUCUAGUUUUUAAUUUUUCUACUAAUAACCCAACAAAACUCAUAUUUUUUUUUCUUCUAAUUCUUAAUUUUUUCUAUUUAGGUUAUCUAAAUUGAAUUGAGUUUGUGAAUUAUGUGGGUGGAUGAAAAAUGAGAUAGAGGAAUGAAAGAAGAAAAAAUAUGCAAAAUCUAGAGGUUGAUCGGGAUGGAAGAAAAGGGCUAUUGUGUUGAACCUAAAGUAAUAGUGGAUAGGUAUGUGACGAAGAAAUUUGAAGGAAAUGGAUUUUUUUUGAAAAAAAUUAUGUUUUAUGAUUCGAGAUUGCAUAGGAUUGAUUAUCCAUGGAGAUUUCAGAG
rnacentral:lncRNA from 1 species